GAUGAAGAACGUAGCGAAAUGCGAUAAGUAAUGUGAAUUGCAGAAUUCAGUGAAUCAUCGAAUCUUUGAACGCACCUUGCGCCUUUUGGUAUUCCGAAAGGCACACCUGUUUGAGCGUCAUGAAUACCUCAAUCUCCAUCUUUUCUUCGGAUUGAUGGGUGACUUGGAUGUUGAGCCCUGCUGGUAUGCUAUAUCAGCUGGCUUUAAACUUAUUAGCCGGCUCUGUACUGGAUCGGUUUGACUCGACGUGAUAAUAUUAUCGUUGAGGAUGCAUGUCUCAUGCAGCCGGAAAGUAUCAAAGCAGCUGCUAGCUUGCCUUUAGUGCACUUUUACAUUUUAGACCUCAGAUCAGGUGGGACUACCCGCUGAACUUAAGCAUAUCAAUAAGCGGAGGA
rnacentral:misc_RNA from 1 species